rnacentral:lncRNA from 1 species
AGUGUGUGUGUGUGCGUGUGUGUGUGUGUGUGUGUGUGUGUGUGUGUGUGUGUAUAGGCCUCUGCUCUAGGCUUAGCUGCUCCACGAGGUGCUUUCCACGAGUCAGAUUGUUUGGUAAUGCAGCCCAAAAUGGGCCCAUUUCCUCCCAGGAGGUACAUCCCUUCUAAGGCUAAACACUGGCGAGAGACCGAUAGCGAACAAGUACCGUGAGGGAA